rnacentral:misc_RNA from 1 species
UUUUGCCACAGCAUCUAUCUCAUCAAUAAAUAUUAUUGAUGGUGCCUCCUUCUUUGCUCUAGCAAAGAGAUCUCUCACACGGGAGGCGCCCAUGCCAACAUAUAACUCCACAAAUUCACUUGCAGAACAACUAAUGAAGGGCACUUCAGCUUCUCCAGCAACAGCCUUUGCAAGAAGAGUCUUACCAGUCCCAGGAAGACCCACCUGUAAAAUAGGCAAAGUGAUACUCUCAUAUGCAAUAUUUCCUCUUAUAUAUAUCCAUCAGAAUCUAGUCUUCAAUAGAAUCAACACAAGUUAGAAUACAAGCAGUUGAUGUAUGCAAAUGAAUAUAUUGCAGCAGCAUAGCAAAUGCUAUAAUCAUUGCACAAAUUUAGAGCAAAUAAAUAAAACUAUGAUGAUUAGUAAACAUAAAUGUGUUUAACAUUUUAAGGAUGGAGAUUUCUGGCCAUAAAUAUCUCACCAUUGCCAAAAUGUUGACAGCAGACCCUCAGAAAUUUCCAGAAACAAGGCUUUUAAGGCAAUAAAAUUAUAGCUAAAUUUUUGUGUCUUACCAAGAGAAUACCUCGAGGAGGACGAGCACCAAGUCUUAUAUACCUGUCUGGAUUCCUGAGGAAUUCCUGGGCAGCAGUGAACAUCAUAAAAAAAAAGCCAUUUCCACAAUCUCUUCCAACUCUUCUUUAGCCUCAUCAACACCAGCAACAUCAGCAAAAGUGAUUGUGUCCCCUUGCUCAGACACUUUUGAACCUCCAGAACCUCCAGACUUGCGGUUCCUAAUUUGACCAGGUGUAUGCUGAGAAAAGCUAACAGGGAACCGGUGAAGAAGCCCUGCAAGCACAGCCACAUAGAACAAAGCUAUCAAAGCGGAGUUCAAGAACCCACCGGACCUCUUAUCAGGGGAUCCAAAUUCCACCUGAUUCUCGAGCAUCUUCUCAUAAGGAGUCUUGAUAUCACUCGGUCUAGUAGUUGUAUACACAAUCCUCUUAGUAGUAGGUGCCACACUCCUCAACAAAGACUCCGACUCGUGAAACUUAGUAUUGACCACUUCGCUACUCUCAUAAUUACUACUCCUUUCAUUUUUCAAUUUGAACAUGAUAUGUAUCCCAUCAACCUCCACUUUCUGCACUUGAUUACUAUUAAUCUUGCCCAAAAACUCACUGUACGGCACACUAAUAAAAGUCGUCGGUUGCCUCGGUUCCGACCCAGGUAAAGGGAUCCCAGGCCGAAGCAACCGCAUGACGAACAUAACUAUCCCUAAUUGCAAAAGCAAGACACUAAUUUCCUGCGCUUGAAUCAACGGUUGCCAUUUCCAGCUCUGUUUCUUCGACCACCACCAAUGACUCUUCCCUUGCUUCUCUCUCCUCUGCUUUGACCCCGAAUUCGGCGGAUUAUUACUCACCUUCUGGCCUUCGCUCUCGCUCCUUUUUUCGCCGGAACUUGCAGUAGAAUCACUAUCUUGACAGUUAGCCAAAAUUCUAUACUCUCUUAUCUUCUGAUUCCUUAAAAAACCUCUUCCCCAAACACUCAACCCUCUUCCGCCUCCUUGAAGAAGCGUUUUGGAAGAAACCACAGGAGGAAACGACACCUGAUAAGGAAUACAACGAUGCGAACAGUGGUGGAGAAAAACCCUAGACCGGCAACGGAAAGGGCACAAACCAUAGGAAUAGUGAAGGUUAGAGGUGGAAUUAGCUUGAAACUUCGUGUGCGUUAUUGGCCUUAGAGUUUCGAUCAUCGAUGACAUGAUCCCUCCCACAAAACCCUACGUAACCAAACAAAUCAAAUGGUACGUUUAUUUAUAAGUUAUUCUCUAAGAAAUAAAAGAUACACUGGGAAGGGGAAAAUCGCCGUUGAAUAUCAGCCGUUGGAUUGAUAGAAAAAUGAGAUGAUAUGAGAUAAUAAACCGCCUGCUUUCCGUUUUUGGAUUCGUAGUUGAUAAUUUCUGUGUCUCUCUUUAUGUGUUAUCGUUAUCGGCUGUUCGACCUUGGGCACUGACGUUGAACAGGAUAGAGGUGUUCGAAGAAGACUUGGGUGCGAGGAUGCGCAUGGUUGAAUUUGUGUUCUGAGAUUGUGAAUAAGAAACGUGGGAGAUAGAAUCGGAGGUUGAUCCGAUCGGAGCUUGGCGCGAGAAGCGACACACGUGUGGAGGGAGA